rnacentral:rRNA from 1 species
UACGAGAGGCCCAAACGUUAUUCGGAAUUACUGGGCUUAAAGAGUUCGUAGGCGGCAUGAAAAGUAGGGUGUGAAAGCCCUCGGCUCAACCGAGGAAUAGCGCUCUAAACUGUCGUGCUAGAGGAAGCUAGAGGUGAGCGGAACUGAUGGUGGAGCGGUGAAAUGCGUUGAUAUCAUCAGGAACACCGGAGGCGAAGGCGGCUCACUGGGGCUUUUCUGACGCUGAGGAACGAAAGCCAGGGUAGCGAACGGG